UGAACGCUGGCGGUAGGCCUAACACAUGCAAGUCGAACGGCAGCACAGUAAGAGCUUGCUCUUACGGGUGGCGAGUGGCGGACGGGUGAGGAAUACAUCGGAAUCUACUUUUUCGUGGGGGAUAACGUAGGGAAACUUACGCUAAUACCGCAUGCGACCUACGGGUGAAAGCAGGGGAUCUUCGGACCUUGCGCGAUUGAAUGAGCCGAUGUCGGAUUAGCUAGUUGGCGGGGUAAAGGCCCACCAAGGCGACGAUCCGUAGCUGGUCUGAGAGGAUGAUCAGCCACACUGGAACUGAGACACGGUCCAGACUCCUACGGGAGGCAGCAGUGGGGAAUAUUGGACAAUGGGCGCAAGCCUGAUCCAGCCAUACCGCGUGGGUGAAGAAGGCCUUCGGGUUGUAAAGCCCUUUUGUUGGGAAAGAAAAGCAGCAGGUUAAUACCCCGCUGUUCUGACGGUACCCAAAGAAUAAGCACCGGCUAACUUCGUG
rnacentral:rRNA from 1 species